rnacentral:rRNA from 1 species
UACGUAGGGUGCAAGCGUUAAUCGGAAUUACUGGGCGUAAAGCGUGCGUAGGCGGCUUCAUAAGUCAAAGGUGAAAUCCCUCGGCUCAACUGAGGAACUGCCUUUGAAACUGUGGAGCUUGAGGCCGGGAGGGGGUAGCGGAAUUCCCAGUGUAGCGGUGAAAUGCGUAGAUAUUGGGAGGAACACCAGUGGCGAAGGCGGCUACCUGGACCGGAACUGACGCUGAUGCGCGAAAGCGUGGGGAGCAAACAGG